rnacentral:rRNA from 1 species
UUCCAGACUCCUACGGGAGGCAGCAGUGGGGGAUAUUGCACAAUGGGGGAAACCCUGAUGCAGCGACGCCGCGUGUGGGAAGACGGUCCUCUGGAUUGUAAACCACUGUCCCCAGGGACGAAGAUGACGGUACCUGGGGAGGAAGCUCCGGCUAACUACGUGCCAGCAGCCGCGGUAAUACGUAGGGAGCGAGCGUUGUCCGGAAUUACUGGGUGUAAAGGGAGCGUAGGCGGGGAUGCAAGUUGGGUGUCAAGACUGCCGGCUCAACUGGUAGUCGCGCUCAAAACUGCAGCUCUUGAGUGAAGUAGAGGCAGGCGGAAUUCCUAGUGUAGCGGUGAAAUGCGUAGAUAUUAGGAGGAACACCAGUGGCGAAGGCGGUCUGCUGGACAGCAACUGACGCUGAGGCGCGAAAGCGUGGGGAGCAAACAGGAUUAGAUACCCGCGUA